CCUAGUAACGGCGAGUGAAGCGGCAACAGCUCAAAUUUGAAAUCUGGCGCCUGCGCCCGAGUUGUAAUUUGCAGAGGAUGCUUCUGGCAAAGCGCCUACCAAGUUCCCUGGAACGGGACGCCACAGCAGGUGAGAGCCCUGUACGGUUGGUUGCUGCGCCGUUGUGAAGCGCCUUCGACGAGUCGAGUAGUUUGGGAAUGCUGCUCUAAAUGGGAGGUAAACUCCUUCUAAAGCUAAAUACUGGCCAGAGACCGAUAGCGCACAAGUAGAGUGAUCGAAAGAUGAAAAGCACUUUGAAAAGAGAGUCAAACAGCACGUGAAAUUGUUGAAAGGGAAGCGCUUGUGACCAGACUUGGGCUUGGUAGUUCAGCCGUCCUUCUGGGCGGUGCAUUCUGCCGGUUCAGGCCAGCAUCAGUUGCCGGUCGGGGAGAAAGAUGGCGGGAACGUGGCUCUUCGGAGUGUUAUAGCCCGCCAUUAUGCCCUUCUGGCGACUGAGGUUAGCGCACUGCACGGAUGCUGGCAUAAUGGUCAUCAGCGACCCGUCUUGAAACACGGACCAAGGAGUCAUCGUAAUAUGCGAGUGUUUGGGUGUCAAACCCCUACGCGAAAUGAAAGUGAACGGAGGUGAGAGCUUCGGCGCAUCAUCGACCGAUCCUGAUGUUCUCGGAUGGAUUUGAGUAAGAGCAUAUUGCGCUGGACCCGAAAGAAGGUGAACUAUGCUUGGAUAGGGCAAAGCCAGAGGAAACUCUGGUGGAGGCUCGCAGCGGUUCUGACGUGCAAAUCGAUCGUCAAAUCUGAGCAUGGGGGCGAAAGACUAAUCGAACCUUCUAGUAGCUGGUUUCCGCCGAAGUUUCCCUCAGGAUAGCAGUGCUGAUCUCAGUUUUAUGAGGUAAAGCGAAUGAUUAGGGACUCGGGGGCGCUAUUUAGCCUUC
rnacentral:rRNA from 1 species